GUCCACGCCGUAAACGAUGGAUACUAGCUGUUGGGAGCAAUCUCAGUGGCUAAGCGAAAGUGAUAAGUAUCCCACCUGGGAGUACGAACGCAAGUUUGAACUCAAAGGAAUUGACGGGGCCCGCACAAGCGGUGGAGCAUGUGGUUUAAUUCGAUGAUACGCGAGGAACCUUACCAAGGCUUAAAUGUAGAUUGACCGGUUUUGGAAACAGACCUUUCGCAAGACAAUUUACAAGGUGCUGCAUGGUUGUCGU
rnacentral:rRNA from 1 species